GGCUUCGUAAUUCAGUGGUAGAAUGCCUGCUUUACAUCCUCAGGACGGAUUCGCAGUACGCCGUGGGUUCGAUCCCCACCGAGGUCA
rnacentral:tRNA from 1 species